rnacentral:tRNA from 1 species
GAAGCGGUGGCUCAGAGGUUAAGAGCACUGACUGCUCUUCCAGAGGACCCGGGUUCAAUUCCCAGC